rnacentral:lncRNA from 1 species
AAACCUGCUAAUGGAACAGUGACACCAGGCACCAGAGGCAUCUGUAUCCACACUGGCAGUAAAUUAGGGAAUUAGAAACUCUACAGUAACCUGUCACUGCCACCUCAUCACAGGUGUUCUGUGGGUAGUAGUCAGCCUCCAGCAUAGGGACCGUGUGUCAGGAACCAAAACAAAAUAGCCAGGUAUAGUGGCACAUGCCUGUAGUCCAAACUACUCAGGAGGG